rnacentral:rRNA from 1 species
GAGUAAUGUCUGGGAAACUGCCUGAUGGAGGGGGAUAACUACUGGAAACGGUAGCUAAUACCGCAUAACGUCGCAAGACCAAAGAGGGGGACCUUCGGGCCUCUUGCCAUCAGAUGUGCCCAGAUGGGAUUAGCUAGUAGGUGGGGUAACGGCUCACCUAGGCGACGAUCCCUAGCUGGUCUGAGAGGAUGACCAGCCACACUGGAACUGAGACACGGUCCAGACUCCUACGGGAGGCAGCAGUGGGGAAUAUUGCACAAUGGGCGCAAGCCUGAUGCAGCCAUGCCGCGUGUAUGAAGAAGGCCUUCGGGUUGUAAAGUACUUUCAGCGAGGAGGAAGGUGUUGAGGUUAAUAACCACAGCAAUUGACGUUACCCGCAGAAGAAGCACCGGCUAACUCCGUGCCAGCAGCCGCGGUAAUACGGAGGGUGCAAGCGUUAAUCGGAAUUACUGGGCGUAAAGCGCACGCAGGCGGUCUGUCAAGUCGGAUGUGAAAUCCCCGGGCUCAACCUGGGAACUGCAUUCGAAACUGGCAGGCUAGAGUCUUGUAGA